CAUCAGGAGGCAGUGAUAAGAAGGUGGCUAUAGUUAUGCAAUUGCCAAGACGAUGGGCUCAUAUAUUUAUCUGCAAUAGUCUUUACAGUUAUGAAAAUUGAGAACUGAUAACCUUUUUUAAAAAAAAAUUACCAAAGCCGGAAAUGCUAUAGUUUCUUCAUCAUUUGAAGAAGAAAGCCUUGAACAGAGAUAAAAUUAUCUGACCUAUGCUGCAUGCAGGUGAAGUAUCGUGCCUGGGAUAGAGUGAAGGUUGUUCCCCCACUCUGGCUAUAAGACUGAAUCACCUUUCCCAUGUAGCAGGAUCUCUUCCCACUCUUUGAUCACUGGAGAACCACCAGCCAGACCAUGACUACAAGUUUUAGGCUUAAAGGGAAAAGAACAACACAGAAAAAUCAUACAAUCACAUUUUUUUUACAUCUUCCACGAAGAACCCAAAACAUUCAAUUAGGUUUUGAUAUUUCUUCCGAAGUAUUUUUUUACUUGAAACAACUUUUAUCCUACUGAGACAUACUUUUAUGAUCUCAGUGAAACACUGAGAAACUUUUUACAUCUCAGAUUCUCAGCAGAUUUCAGAAACACUUCUCUGACUUCAAAUCAGAGUCCAGUUGUAUUCAUAUCAGUGAAAAUAGGCUGUUUUAUGUUAAUCAAAAAACCCGUGAUCCUGAAAUAGAGAUCAAAUAGGAGUGUGAUAUAAAAUUGAUAACUAAAACAAUGUAAAAUUAUCAGUAAAAGGCUGUGGAUUGUUUUAGCUCUCCUAGUAAUUUCAGCAUUUCUAAGUGAUUUCUGAAGAAACAAAUGAUGAAUGAAGUUAAAGCGUCAUUUUUCACCCAUUAUACCAAAGAGACCACGAAGAAAUUCUUAAAUCUAGAUUCAUCCAUGAUUAAUGAGAAAGAAAAAACAUAAAAGAGGUAGCAGGAUCCAUCACAAUAUAACCUGCAGUUAAGGCGAUGUCUCAGAC
rnacentral:lncRNA from 1 species